rnacentral:rRNA from 1 species
GACGAACGCUGGCGGCGUGCUUAACACAUGCAAGUCGAACGGAAAGGCCCUGCUUUUGUGGGGUGCUCGAGUGGCGAACGGGUGAGUAACACGUGAGUAACCUGCCCUUGACUUUGAGAUAACUUCAGGAAACUGGGGCUAAUACCGGAUAGGAGCUCCUGCUGCAUGGGGGGGGUUGGAAAGUUUCGGCGGUUGGGGAUGGACUCGCGGCUUAUCAGCUGGUUGGUGGGGUAGUGGCUUACCAAGGCUUUGACGGGUAGCCGGCCUGGGAGGGUGACCGGCCACAUUGGGACUGCGAUACGGCCCAGACUCCUACGGGAGGCAGCAGUGGGGAAUAUUGCACAAUGGGCGGAAGCCUGAUGCAGCAACGCCGCGUGCGGGAUGACGGCCUUCGGGUUGUAAACCGCUUUCGCCUGUGACGAAGCGUGAGUGACGGUAAUGGGUAAAGAAGCACCGGCUAACUACGUG